rnacentral:rRNA from 1 species
UGGGGAAUAUUGCACAAUGGGCGCAAGCCUGAUGCAGCCAUGCCGCGUGUGUGAAGAAGGCCUUCGGGUUGUAAAGCACUUUCAGCGAGGAGGAAGGUGGUGAACUUAAUACGUUCAUCAAUUGACGUUACUCGCAGAAGAAGCACCGGCUAACUCCGUGCCAGCAGCCGCGGUAAUACGGAGGAUGCAAGCGUUAAUCGGAAUUACUGGGCGUAAAGCGCACGCAGGCGGUUUGUUAAGUCAGAUGUGAAAUCCCCGGGCUCAACCUGGGAACUGCAUUUGAAACUGGCAAGCUAGAGUCUCGUAGAGGGGGGUAGAAUUCCAGGUGUAGCGGUGAAAUGCGUAGAGAUCUGGAGGAAUACCGGUGGCGAAGGCGGCCCCCUGGACGAAGACUGACGCUCAGGUGCGAAAGCGUGGGGAGCAAACAGGAUUAGAUACCCUGGUAGUCCACGCUGUAAACGAUGUCGAUUUGGAGGUUGUGCCCUUGAGGCGUGGCUUCCGGAGCUAACGCGUUAAAUCGACCGCCUGGGGAGUACGGCCGCAAGGUUAAAACUCAAAUGAAUUGAC